rnacentral:rRNA from 1 species
GAUGAACGCUGGCGGCGUGCCUAAUACAUGCAAGUCGAGCGAACGGACAAGAAGCUUGCUUCUCUGAUGUUAGCGGCGGACGGGUGAGUAACACGUGGAUAACCUACCUAUAAGACUGGGAUCACUUCGGGAAACCGGAGCUAAUACCGGAUAAUAUUUUGAACCGCAUGGUUCAAAAGUGAAAGACGGUCUUGCUGUCACUUAUAGAUGGAUCCGCGCUGCAUUAGCUAGUUGGUAAGGUAACGGCUUACCAAGGCAACGAUGCAUAGCCGACCUGAGAGGGUGAUCGCCGACACGGGAACUGGGACACGGUCCAGACUCCUACGGGAGGCAGCAGUAGGGAAUCUUCCGCAAUGGGCGAAAGCCUGACGGAGCAACGCCGCGUGAGUGAUGAAGGUCUUCGGAGCGUAAAACUCUGUUAUUAGGGAAGAACAUAUGUGUAAGUAACUGUGCACAGCUUGACGGUACCUAAUCAGAAAGCCACGGCUAACUACGUG